ACUAUUUUGGCAGAAAAAAUGUAAUAAAUUUAGAAUUUAUAAAUAUAAUUUAAAAUUAUAAAUAGUA